AUUGAACGCUGGCGGCACGCUUAACACAUGCAAGUCGAGCGGUAACAUGACUAGUAGCAAUACUAGUUGAUGACGAGCGGCGGACGGGUGAGUAACACGUAGGAACUUGCCCAGUAGUGGGGGACAACCAAGGGAAACUUUGGCUAAUACCGCAUAUUCUCGAGAGAGGAAAGCUGCCGCAAGGUGGCGCUAUUGGAGAGGCCUGCGUCCGAUUAGCUAGUUGGUGAGGUAAAGGCUCACCAAGGCGAGGAUCGGUAACUGGUCUGAGAGGACGACCAGUCACACUGGGACUGAGACACGGCCCAGACUCCUACGGGAGGCAGCAGUGGGGAAUCUUGGACAAUGGGGGCAACCCUGAUCCAGCGAUGCCGCGUGAGUGAAGAAGGCCUUCGGGUCGUAAAGCUCUUUAGGCUGGGAAGAAGGUUGGUAGUUUAAGAGAUAAUCAAUUUGACUGUACCAGCAGAAUAAGCACCGGCAAACUCUGUGCCAGCCGCCGCGGUAA
rnacentral:rRNA from 1 species